rnacentral:rRNA from 1 species
GAGACCCACGCCAACAGUUGCCAGCAUGUCCUCCGGGAUGGUGGGGACACUGUUGGGACCGCCUCUGCUAAAGAGGAGGAAGGAAUGGGCAACGGUAGGUCAGCAUGCCCCGAAUUAUCCGGGCUACACGCGGGCUACAAUGGGCAGGACAAUGGGUUUCGACACCGAAAGGUGAGGUCAAUCUCUUAAACCAGUUCUUAGUCCGGAUUGAGGGCUGUAACUCGCCCUCAUGAAGAUGGAAUCCGUAGUAAUCGCAUUUCAAAACAGUGCGGUGAAUAC